rnacentral:misc_RNA from 1 species
AUUGCAUGAACCAAAAUGGCAUCAGGCUAUUCAAGGUUAGGAGGAGAGGGCAGUGGCCGGCCUCAGCGCUCAUAUGGCACCACUAGCCCAGAUGUUGGUUUUGCCCCGGGAGCAAGAACCGGAACAGAAUUUUUUCAAGCUUGUGUAUUCUUCUUCAACAUCAUGGCUUUCAACGGGACUUACCUACUGCGGUGACCCAGCUGCAGUGACUCAAAUGAAACACAGGAGGACUCAACGCUCCCCUUACAAUCAUGAACUGCUGUGUGAUAAGAUAACAACAAAUCUUUUCUCAAUCAACAAUGCAACGAACACAUUGGAGAGAUCACUAAAGCAAGUGGGAACAACUACAGAUAACCAGCAAUUGCGAGAUAGAAUUUCACAGAUAAACAGCAGUGCUGGAGCUGCAGUGCAGGAAAUCACUGGACUUUUACGUACUCUGCAGCCACUUGCUCAGGGUGAUAGGCAGCGGCGGGUGCAGGCAGAUCGAUUACACAAUGAAUUCCAAGCUUCUGCUUCACGCUUUGCAGAAGUUCAAAAAAAAGUAGUGAGUACACUGAGGACAGCACGGCUGCCAGCUGAUAUGGUGGCUGUGGAACAAGACAACACCUCUGCCACAGACUCCAUGAUUGCAACAGAACAACAAAGUCUUGCAAAAAUUAAGCAGUUAGAGGACAUGGAAUUUGAAGCAGCUAUGAACCAGGAGAGGGAGCAGAGAGUGCAGCGCCUAGAAUCUGACAUCAUUGACAUUAAUGAGAUCAUGCGAGACCUUUCUUCCAUAGUCACUGCCCAAGGAGAAAUUGUGGGUAUGCUGAUAUCAUAUUCCUUGGGAUCUGUUUUUCAUCCAAGAUUUAAGGAGUGAUCCCUAAUAUAACUCAAUUGAAAAUAAUGUGGAAUCUGCUGCUGGAAACGUGGAGGAGGGCAGAGAGGAGCUCAUCAAGGCUGCCCGAUACCAGAACAAGAGUCGGCGAAAGAUGUGCAUCUGCGUCCUUAUUUUGGUCAUAGUGCUUGCCCUCAUUGGAAUAAUCAUUGGGAUUCACUUUGCUAC